GAUGAACGCUGGCGGCGUGCCUAAUACAUGCAAGUCGAGCGAACGGACGAGAAGCUUGCUUCUCUGAUGUUAGCGGCGGACGGGUGAGUAACACGUGGAUAACCUACCUAUAAGACUGGGAUAACUUCGGGAAACCGGAGCUAAUACCGGAUGAUAUUUUGAACCGCAUGGUUCAAAAGUGAAAGACGGUCUUGCUGUCACUUAUAGAUGGAUCCGCGCUGCAUUAGCUAGUUGGUAAGGUAACGGCUUACCAAGGCAACGAUUCAUAGCCGACCUGAGAGGGUGAUCGGCCACACUGGAACUGAGACACGGUCCAGACUCCUACGGGAGGCAGCAGUAGGGAAUCUUCCGCAAUGGGCGAAAGCCUGACGGAGCAACGCCGCGUGAGUGAUGAAGGUCUUCGGAUCGUAAAACUCUGUUAUUAGGGAAGAACAUAUGUGUAAGUAACUGUGCACAUCUUGACGAUACCUAAUCAGAAAGCCACGGCUAACUACGUG
rnacentral:rRNA from 1 species